rnacentral:rRNA from 1 species
AAAUUGAAGAGUUUGAUCAUGGCUCAGAUUGAACGCUGGCGGCAGGCCUAACACAUGCAAGUCGAACGGUAACAGGAAGCAGCUUGCUGCUUCGCUGACGAGUGGCGGACGGGUGAGUAAUGUCUGGGAAACUGCCUGAUGGAGGGGGAUAACUACUGGAAACGGUAGCUAAUACCGCAUAAUGUCGCAAGACCAAAGAGGGGGACCUUCGGGCCUCUUGCC